rnacentral:rRNA from 1 species
AUUGAACGCUGGCGGCAUGCCUUACACAUGCAAGUCGAACGGUAACAGGUCUUCGGAUGCUGACGAGUGGCGAACGGGUGAGUAAUACAUCGGAACGUGCCCAGACGUGGGGGGUAACGAGGCGAAAGCUUUGCUAAUACCGCAUACGAUCUAAGGAUGAAAGCAGGGGACCGCAAGGCCUUGCGCGGUUGUAGCGGCCGAUGGCAGAUUAGGUAGUUGGUGGGAUAAAAGCUUACCAAGCCGACGAUCUGUAGCUGGUCUGAGAGGACGACCAGCCACACUGGGACUGAGACACGGCCCAGACUCCUACGGGAGGCAGCAGUGGGGAAUUUUGGACAAUGGGCGAAAGCCUGAUCCAGCAAUGCCGCGUGCAGGAUGAAGGCCUUCGGGUUGUAAACUGCUUUUGUACGGAACGAAAAGGCUCUGGCUAAUACCUGGGGCACAUGACGGUACCGUAAGAAUAAGCACCGGCUAACUACGUG